UACAGAGGGUGCAAGCGUUGUUCGGAAUUACUGGGCGUAAAGCGCGUGUAGGCGGCGCGGUAAGUCCUGUGUGAAAGCCCCGGGCUCAACCCGGGAAGUGCGCAGGAUACUGCAGUGCUUGAGUGACGGAGAGGAUGGCGGAAUACCCGGUGUAGAGGUGGAAUGCGUAGAGAUCCGGAAGAACACCGGUGGCGAAAGCGGCUUCCUGGCCCGACACUGACGCUCAUGUACGAAAGCGUGGGGAGCAAACAGG
rnacentral:rRNA from 1 species